CACCAAGGUUCUCUCUUUCCACACACCAUACAAAAGAGGCCAUAUGAAGACACUGAGAAGUCAGGUGUCUACAAGCCAAGAAGAGAGGCCUCGCCAAAAUCCAACCCUGAUGACACUUUGAUCUUGGACUUCUAGCCUCCUGAACUGGAAAUGACACCAGCUAUUGCUGCCAACUUUCUACCAGCUUUGGAGUAGCCUGGAGGUUACUCUGGAGUAACCAGAGGGAGCCACAUAAAAGAAGGUUUCUCCCUCAUUGUCCCUCAUCUUCUAACGUUGUCUGUUACGCCAAGAUCCCAAGCAAACCUACCACCUAGUGACACGCAGUGUAUUUGUCUACACCUUCAGAGCUUGCCAUAGCUACAGAUGCCAUCUUCCUAGACUGUCUCUGAAAUCUCAUGUUUUAGCACUUCAAAAAGGUACCAAGACAAUAGUAGGGAUGAAGGGAGUGGGUCCUCCUCCCCAAUUCAAAAAAUGUCAGACAUAUUUUAUGAGCCUAAAGGACUUUGUGUCUCAUUGUCAAAAUCUUUCUUCACCAAAAGAUUAAAA